rnacentral:rRNA from 1 species
GGGUUGUGAGGUUAAGCGACUAAGCGUACACGGUGGAUGCCCUGGCAGUCAGAGGCGAUGAAGGACGUGCUAAUCUGCGAUAAGCGUCGGUAAGGUGAUAUGAACCGUUAUAACCGGCGAUUUCCGAAUGGGGAAACCCAGUGUGUUUCGACACACUAUCAUUAACUGAAUCCAUAGGUUAAUGAGGCGAACCGGGGGAACUGAAACAUCUAAGUACCCCGAGGAAAAGAAAUCAACCGAGAUUCCCCCAGUAGCGGCGAGCGAACGGGGAGGAGCCCAGAGCCUGAAUCAGUGUGUGUGUUAGUGGAAGCGUCUGGAAAGGCGCGCGAUACAGGGUGACAGCCCCGUACACAAAAAUGCACAUGCUGUGAGCUCGAUGAGUAGGGCGGGACACGUGGUAUCCUGUCUGAAUAUGGGGGGACCAUCCUCCAAGGCUAAAUACUCCUGACUGACCGAUAGUGAACCAGUACCGUGAGGGAAAGGCGAAAAGAACCCCGGCGAGGGGAGUGAAAAAGAACCUGAAACCGUGUACGUACAAGCAGUGGGAGCACGCUUAGGCGUGUGACUGCGUACCUUUUGUAUAAUGGGUCAGCGACUUAUAUUCUGUAGCAAGGUUAACCGAAUAGGGGAGCCGAAGGGAAACCGAGUCUUAACUGGGCGUUAAGUUGCAGGGUAUAGACCCGAAACCCGGUGAUCUAGCCAUGGGCAGGUUGAAGGUUGGGUAACACUAACUGGAGGACCGAACCGACUAAUGUUGAAAAAUUAGCGGAUGACUUGUGGCUGGGGGUGAAAGGCCAAUCAAACCGGGAGAUAGCUGGUUCUCCCCGAAAGCUAUUUAGGUAGCGCCUCGUGAAUUCAUCUCCGGGGGUAGAGCACUGUUUCGGCAAGGGGGUCAUCCCGACUUACCAACCCGAUGCAAACUGCGAAUACCGGAGAAUGUUAUCACGGGAGACACACGGCGGGUGCUAACGUCCGUCGUGAAGAGGGAAACAACCCAGACCGCCAGCUAAGGUCCCAAAGUCAUGGUUAAGUGGGAAACGAUGUGGGAAGGCCCAGACAGCCAGGAUGUUGGCUUAGAAGCAGCCAUCAUUUAAAGAAAGCGUAAUAGCUCACUGGUCGAGUCGGCCUGCGCGGAAGAUGUAACGGGGCUAAACCAUGCACCGAAGCUGCGGCAGCGACGCUUAUGCGUUGUUGGGUAGGGGAGCGUUCUGUAAGCCUGUGAAGGUGUACUGUGAGGUAUGCUGGAGGUAUCAGAAGUGCGAAUGCUGACAUAAGUAACGAUAAAGCGGGUGAAAAGCCCGCUCGCCGGAAGACCAAGGGUUCCUGUCCAACGUUAAUCGGGGCAGGGUGAGUCGACCCCUAAGGCGAGGCCGAAAGGCGUAGUCGAUGGGAAACAGGUUAAUAUUCCUGUACUUGGUGUUACUGCGAAGGGGGGACGGAGAAGGCUAUGUUGGCCGGGCGACGGUUGUCCCGGUUUAAGCGUGUAGGCUGGUUUUCCAGGCAAAUCCGGAAAAUCAAGGCUGAGGCGUGAUGACGAGGCACUACGGUGCUGAAGCAACAAAUGCCCUGCUUCCAGGAAAAGCCUCUAAGCAUCAGGUAACAUCAAAUCGUACCCCAAACCGACACAGGUGGUCAGGUAGAGAAUACCAAGGCGCUUGAGAGAACUCGGGUGAAGGAACUAGGCAAAAUGGUGCCGUAACUUCGGGAGAAGGCACGCUGAUAUGUAGGUGAAGUCCCUCGCGGAUGGAGCUGAAAUCAGUCGAAGAUACCAGCUGGCUGCAACUGUUUAUUAAAAACACAGCACUGUGCAAACACGAAAGUGGACGUAUACGGUGUGACGCCUGCCCGGUGCCGGAAGGUUAAUUGAUGGGGUCAGCGCAAGCGAAGCUCUUGAUCGAAGCCCCGGUAAACGGCGGCCGUAACUAUAACGGUCCUAAGGUAGCGAAAUUCCUUGUCGGGUAAGUUCCGACCUGCACGAAUGGCGUAAUGAUGGCCAGGCUGUCUCCACCCGAGACUCAGUGAAAUUGAACUCGCUGUGAAGAUGCAGUGUACCCGCGGCAAGACGGAAAGACCCCGUGAACCUUUACUAUAGCUUGACACUGAACAUUGAGCCUUGAUGUGUAGGAUAGGUGGGAGGCUUUGAAGUGUGGACGCCAGUCUGCAUGGAGCCGACCUUGAAAUACCACCCUUUAAUGUUUGAUGUUCUAACGUUGACCCGUAAUCCGGGUUGCGGACAGUGUCUGGUGGGUAGUUUGACUGGGGCGGUCUCCUCCUAAAGAGUAACGGAGGAGCACGAAGGUUGGCUAAUCCUGGUCGGACAUCAGGAGGUUAGUGCAAUGGCAUAAGCCAGCUUGACUGCGAGCGUGACGGCGCGAGCAGGUGCGAAAGCAGGUCAUAGUGAUCCGGUGGUUCUGAAUGGAAGGGCCAUCGCUCAACGGAUAAAAGGUACUCCGGGGAUAACAGGCUGAUACCGCCCAAGAGUUCAUAUCGACGGCGGUGUUUGGCACCUCGAUGUCGGCUCAUCACAUCCUGGGGCUGAAGUAGGUCCCAAGGGUAUGGCUGUUCGCCAUUUAAAGUGGUACGCGAGCUGGGUUUAGAACGUCGUGAGACAGUUCGGUCCCUAUCUGCCGUGGGCGCUGGAGAACUGAGGGGGGCUGCUCCUAGUACGAGAGGACCGGAGUGGACGCAUCACUGGUGUUCGGGUUGUCAUGCCAAUGGCACUGCCCGGUAGCUAAAUGCGGAAGAGAUAAGUGCUGAAAGCAUCUAAGCACGAAACUUGCCCCGAGAUGAGUUCUCCCUGACUCCUUGAGAGUCCUGAAGGAACGUUGAAGACGACGACGUUGAUAGGCCGGGUGUGUAAGCGCAGCGAUGCGUUGAGCUAACCGGUACUAAUGAACCGUGAGGCUUAACCUUACAACGCCGAAGCUGUU